rnacentral:rRNA from 1 species
GCGAUACAGGGUGACAGCCCCGUACACAAAAAUGCACAUGCUGUGAGCUCGAUGAGUAGGGCGGGACACGUGGUAUCCUGUCUGAAUAUGGGGGGACCAUCCUCCAAGGCUAAAUACUCCUGACUGACCGAUAGUGAACCAGUACCGUGAGGGAAAGGCGAAAAGAACCCCGGCGAGGGGAGUGAAAAAGAACCUGAAACCGUGUACGUACAAGCAGUGGGAGCACGCUUAGGCGUGUGACUGCGUACCUUUUGUAUAAUGGGUCAGCGACUUAUAUUCUGUAGCAAGGUUAACCGAAUAGGGGAGCCGAAGGGAAACCGAGUCUUAACUGGGCGUUAAGUUGCAGGGUAUAGACCCGAAACCCGGUGAUCUAGCCAUGGGCAGGUUGAAGGUUGGGUAACACUAACUGGAGGACCGAACCGACUAAUGUUGAAAAAUUAGCGGAUGACUUGUGGCUGGGGGUGAAAGGCCAAUCAAACCGGGAGAUAGCUGGUUCUCCCCGAAAGCUAUUUAGGUAGCGCCUCGUGAAUUCAUCUCCGGGGGUAGAGCACUGUUUCGGCAAGGGGGUCAUCCCGACUUACCAACCCGAUGCAAACUGCGAAUACCGGAGAAUGUUAUCACGGGAGACACACGGCGGGUGCUAACGUCCGUCGUGAAGAGGGAAACAACCCAGACCGCCAGCUAAGGUCCCAAAGUCAUGGUUAAGUGGGAAACGAUGUGGGAAGGCCCAGACAGCCAGGAUGUUGGCUUAGAAGCAGCCAUCAUUUAAAGAAAGCGUAAUAGCUCACUGGUCGAGUCGGCCUGCGCGGAAGAUGUAACGGGGCUAAACCAUGCACCGAAGCUGCGGCAGCGACGCUGAUGCGUUGUUGGGUAGGGGAGCGUUCUGUAAGCCUGCGAAGGUGUGCUGUGAGGCAUGCUGGAGGUAUCAGAAGUGCGAAUGCUGACAUAAGUAACGAUAAAGCGGGUGAAAAGCCCGCUCGCCGGAAGACCAAGGGUUCCUGUCCAACGUUAAUCGGGGCAGGGUGAGUCGACCCCUAAGGCGAGGCCGAAAGGCGUAGUCGAUGGGAAACAGGUUAAUAUUCCUGUACUUGGUGUUACUGCGAAGGGGGGACGGAGAAGGCUAUGUUGGCCGGGCGACGGUUGUCCCGGUUUAAGCGUGUAGGCUGGUUUUCCAGGCAAAUCCGGAAAAUCAAGGCUGAGGCGUGAUGACGAGGCACUACGGUGCUGAAGCAACAAAUGCCCUGCUUCCAGGAAAAGCCUCUAAGCAUCAGGUAACAUCAAAUCGUACCCCAAACCGACACAGGUGGUCAGGUAGAGAAUACCAAGGCGCUUGAGAGAACUCGGGUGAAGGAACUAGGCAAAAUGGUGCCGUAACUUCGGGAGAAGGCACGCUGAUAUGUAGGUGAAGUCCCUCGCGGAUGGAGCUGAAAUCAGUCGAAGAUACCAGCUGGCUGCAACUGUUUAUUAAAAACACAGCACUGUGCAAACACGAAAGUGGACGUAUACGGUGUGACGCCUGCCCGGUGC